rnacentral:rRNA from 1 species
UACGCAGGGGGCUAGCGUUGCUCGGAAUCACUGGGCGUAAAGCGCACGUAGGCGGACUCUUAAGUCGGUGGUGAAAUCCUGGAGCUCAACUCCAGAACUGCCUCCGAUACUGGGAGCCUUCGAGUCCGGGAGAGGUGAGUGGAACUGCGAGUGUAGAGGUGAAAUUCGUAGAUAUUCGCAAGAACACCAGUGGCGAAGGCGGCUCACUGGCCCGGUACUGACGCUGAGGUGCGAAAGCGUGGGGAGCAAACAGG